CCUGCCAGUAGUCAUAUGCUUGUCUCAAAGAUUAAGCCAUGCAUGUCUAAGUACGCACGGCCGGUACAGUGAAACUGCGAAUGGCUCAUUAAAUCAGUUAUGGUUCCUUUGGUCGCUCGCUCCUCUCCUACUUGGAUAACUGUGGUAAUUCUAGAGCUAAUACAUGCCGACGGGCGCUGACCCCCUUCGCGGGGGGGAUGCGUGCAUUUAUCAGAUCAAAACCAACCCGGUCAGCCCCUCUCCGGCCCCGGCCGGGGGGCGGGCGCCGGCGGCUUUGGUGACUCUAGAUAACCUCGGGCCGAUCGCACGCCCCCCGUGGCGGCGACGACCCAUUCGAACGUCUGCCCUAUCAACUUUCGAUGGUAGUCGCCGUGCCUACCAUGGUGACCACGGGUGACGGGGAAUCAGGGUUCGAUUCCG
rnacentral:rRNA from 15 species